UGCAGUCGACGAACUCUGGUAUUGAUUGGUGCUUGCAUCAUGAUUUACAUUUGAGUGAGUGGCGAACUGGUGAGUAACACGUGGGAAACCUGCCCAGAAGCGGGGGAUAACACCUGGAAACAGAUGCUAAUACCGCAUAACAACUUGGACCGCAUGGUCCGAGCUUGAAAGAUGGCUUCGGCUAUCACUUUUGGAUGGUCCCGCGGCGUAUUAGCUAGAUGGUGGGGUAACGGCUCACCAUGGCAAUGAUACGUAGCCGACCUGAGAGGGUAAUCGGCCACAUUGGGACUGAGACACGGCCCAAACUCCUACGGGAGGCAGCAGUAGGGAAUCUUCCACAAUGGACGAAAGUCUGAUGGAGCAACGCCGCGUGAGUGAAGAAGGGUUUCGGCUCGUAAAACUCUGUUGUUAAAGAAGAACAUAUCUGAGAGUAACUGUUCAGGUAUUGACGGUAUUUAACCAGAAAGCCACGGCUAACUACGUGCCAGCAGCCGGCGGU
rnacentral:rRNA from 2 species